rnacentral:sRNA from 1 species
GUGCUGCACUCUUCAGAUUCAGCAGCUCGAAUAGCUAUACCAAGAAAUUUGUGAAUAAGAAACUUCAAGCGGCACCUAUCCUCCAAUCUGGGAUCUUAUACGACAAUCUUGCCAUAACAGUCCUCAAUAGCACCAACUCGUGCUUCUCGAGUCCAUCGCUUCAAAAUAUAUUUGUCUCGUUUUCCUUUGAUAACUCUUUCAAGAUUAUUGAAAAACUGAAUAAUGUCAAGAUCAGACUUGAGAUGGUUUUUCAAGUCAUUAUUUAAGCUCUCACUCAACUGUGUGCUUCUCAUCCCUAAUGUGUAAACAUUCCUCAUGUAGCAUUCCGCCCAUUUCUCUUUUACCUUAUAUAUACUGUUUAGCCAAGUCUGCUUGUGCACCUUGCUUCUGAUGGUACUGAAAGUUUCCUCAAAAGUUGCUUCAUCU